GACGUAGGGCGCAAGCGUUGUCCGGAUUUAUUGGGCGUAAAGAGCUCGUAGGCGGCCUGUCGCGUCGACCGUGAAAACCCGCAGCUCAACUGCGGGCUUGCGGUCGAUACGGGCAGGCUAGAGUUCGGUAGGGGAGACUGGAAUUCCUGGUGUAGCGGUGAAAUGCGCAGAUAUCAGGAGGAACACCGAUGGCGAAGGCAGGUCUCUGGGCCGAUACUGACGCUGAGGAGCGAAAGCGUGGGGAGCGAACAGG
rnacentral:rRNA from 1 species